GUUGGUUAUUCCUUCUCUCGCUCGCUGUCGAGUUCUUGGGGGAGGAAACUCCAACUAGAUCUUGAAGAGGAGGAGAGAGCGGAAGGGAGUCGAUCGAUCGGAUGAAGCGAGGACGUUACCCACCGCCAUCGAAGGGUUCCUCCGCCGAAGCUGAAGAAGACAAUUGUCUACAUUCCACCAGUUGAAGCCUCAAGAAUCAAAAUCAAGACACUCCUAUUACAAUCAGUACCAACCGUACGCUGGUUCAUUCAAAGUCAUGCAAAAUCUUAAAUGACAAAGUUAUCAGUGUAUAUAAUUGUUCUUACUUUGUUUUUCUUAAAAUUAAUUCAAUGUUGGAAAGCAUUUUCUA